AGUAAAAGUCGUAACAAGGUUUCCGUAGGUGAACCUGCGGAAGGAUCAUUACAGAGUUCAUGCCCUUACGGGUAGAUCUCCCACCCUUGAGUAUAUUACCUUUGUUGCUUUGGCAGGCCGCCUCGGCCACCGGCUCCGGCUGGUGAGUGCCUGCCAGGGAACCCUAAACUCUGAAUUAUCGUGUCGUCUGAGUACUAUAUAAUAGUUAAAACUUUCAACAACGGAUCUCUUGGUUCUGGCAUCGAUGAAGAACGCGGCGAAAUGCGAUAAGUAAUGUGAAUUGCAGAAUUCAGUGAAUCAUCGAAUCUUUGAACGCACAUUGCGCCCCUUGGUAUUCCGGGGGGCAUGCCUGUUCGAGCGUCACUAUAACCCCUCAAGCUCAGCUUGGUGUUGGGGCGCGCCUCUGGGCGGCCCCUAAAAUCAGUGGCGGUGCCGUCUGGCUCUAAGCGUAGUAAUUAUUCUCGCUAUAGCGCCCGGCGGUGGCCUGCCAGAACCCCUAACUUCUAUGGUUGACCUCGGAUCAGGUAGGGAUACCCGCUGAACUUAAGCAUAUCAAUAAGCGGAGGA
rnacentral:rRNA from 1 species